CUGGAGCUACCUCCGCCAUUCUUUCAAAUCGACACUCGCCAAGAGACCCACCCUCCUCUGACUCUGAUAGGCUUGUUUCCGGUUCACGGACAAUCAAACCAACGAUGGCAGCGAGUAUUACCCAAUCAGGAGCAGAAUAAAACGAGACUUCACAGAAUUCAGGUGGGAUUAUUUGCAUAGGAUGCUGCAUUGACUACAUCUCGGAAAUACGGUAAAAUACGUAUUGGUUCAAAACGGGACGCGCUAUUUUCUCAAAUACCGGACGAUUCCGUAUUUUAAGGGACGGGUGGCAACCCUUUUAGUUUAGACUUGAUCUACUUCGUGAAAGUGUUGUGACGUAGCUCCAAUAGUAUGUGAAUCUGUUAUGAACUGCUCAAGAUCAGAGUAUUUGUUAUCGUAUUUACUGAGUUGAGGAGGUCAGUGAAGCACUCACGGUUCAUCCUGUCAAUCAUCCUGGCUCCCGCUGUGGUUGGCAGAGAGCGGGAGGUGGGACGGUACGAUGUGAUCGUGAUAGAUGUGUGCGUCACACUUUGUGAGACAUGCGAGUGAUCGUUUAGCAGCAUUAUUGUCAGCAGACUGUCAGCAAAUAAAAGUGUAAAAGCAAGUUGGCGUCUCGUCGCUUUCCGCAUUGAGAGUCGUUACAGUAGAUUGAAAGUAUAUUUUCAUUGCGCAGUUUGUUGAAGCAGUGGAGAAAUCCCUCUUUUCUGCUCCUCUCCAGCUCCUCUCCAGCGCGAUACUUUUUCAGCUAAGUUAAAGCUAUAUUUACAUUUUUAUAUAUAUAUAUAUAUAUAUUUUUUUUUUUUGCUGAUUGCCAAUUUGUCGCUCUGAAGGAUACAGGUAAGCCAGCAUCGUUUGCAGUGAAAGCAGAUGAAUACGUCCAAGCAGAAUUAAACUUUUUGGAUUUUUCCACUGAUGACUGCAGAGGAAUGCAAAUCAUAGUCCGCCACCUGCUGGGAAGGUUGUUACAGACAGCGGACACAUUGAUGUUUCCUACACCGGAUAUGUUAAAACAUUUAAAUCAUAUGAGUAAAUGGUGCUCGGGGCGAGAGAUCUGGAACAGCAGGGACGACGGCUCUGCACCCUUCACCCUUAAGAAGAGCUGUGCUCCAGUGAAGGAUGAAGAUGAGGAGCUGUGGAGGCCCAUGUCGACCAUCUUUCCUUCAAAGUAUCAAGUGCAGAGCUAAACCACGUUGUCCGUCUCCACCCCUGCUGUCCUCACCAACUGGACCUUUGUAGACAAGAAGGAGACGGUUCGUCUUGGACCGCAGCUUUCCACUUCCUGCUCUAUAAACGCCGUGAGCAGAAGGACACGCUAAAGCUUGUGAACAGGAACUACGCUACUCUGUAUUCAACAUUUGAUGUCCCUGUUGUAAUAAAUACAUCUAAUUCACUAAUGUCUACAUGUCAUGAAUGAGUUAUGAAGCCAUUACACUGAUUUCAACUUUAGCUUCAUCACAUCCUAUCCCAGUGAGUACAUGAUAAUGAUUGCACCGUCUAUGUAUCAAAUGCUGAUUAUAAUGAAACACUGUCUUCAUGUUGAUAAAUAGUUAAAAUGAUUUGUCAUGAUUAUGAUGCAACAAUAACUAUAUUUAGAAGUUUCCUGAUUACAACCAGGUGUGUGUUUUGACUAGAGAGGGCAACCUAUUUUUCACCUUCAACAAUGAAGGAAUUGUCGUAGUGAUCAGUUAAACAAAAAAUAGUAUUUCAUCUUUUGUCUCACUAAAAUAGUGAUAACCAGUAGACAGCAAAGUGGGGUACACAUUUUACUUUUAAACAAUUUAUUUGUAAAUAGCUCUUUAUCAUGCAUGUGUUUCUUUGCCCCAGGGCCCAGGAGAACAAUUCAGUGCAAGGGGCUGAAUAAAGCACAAUGACAUUAGCUUUUCAGCGUCUUGGAUAAGGUGUUUCAGCAUUUUGGACAGUGGCAACCUUGUGGUUCCCGGCGCACCCUCUGUACUCAAUGCGCUACCGUCGCCCCAUAAGUUCGAGAAGGUCAUACUUCAGAUUUGUUGAAUCAUUGUGCCGGCUAUAUUUCCGUUGUUGAGUUGUAGGAAUAUCGUCUUUAGUUUGAUUUAUGAAAACCUUAAACUUAAACAUUAUGUAACAGUAGUCUAUUGAGAUUUUUGUUGUGGUAUGGAAGUCAUGGAAAAAGAAGAAACUAAUGCGUCAUUUAUCAACAAAACAAAUCAAAGGAAUGUUGAUCACCGGGAAGUACAACGCAAAAAGAACCACAGGGAUAGUCUUUGUUACAAAAGACAUCAUUAAGUAGGCAUCCCUGCAUCAUAGAAUACAGGGACAGAAGAUCACUGCGUAUUCAUUAUUUGCGCCGUAGCUUAAGCUGACGUUGAAAGAAACAAGUAAAACUGAAAAGAAACAUAUUUAAAUGAGUUAAAACACAUAAACCAGAGAAACCUUUAGUUUCAGUUAACAUGUGCUGUUGUUACCUCCACUAACAGUGUAGAAAGGAUAUAGAAUAUUUCUUUUUACAAAUCCAUACAAAUCCAUGGCUGUGUCAAAGUGCUGAGGUACAAAUGCAUUUGUAUGUUUUACAACAACGCAGUUUUAACACGAAACAUUUCUCUUGUGCGUGUUUAAUAGUGUCACGGUGUGGUUCUCUUCCUGUCUUAUUUUGUAGUUUUCUGCCACUCGUGUCCCCGGGUAACUUCACUUCCUGCCUUGUCCCGUCAUCCCCUGUGAUCGUCUAAUAGCUUCCACCUGUGUCCAAUCACCUGCACCUCCCUUGUGUAUUUAAGCCGUGUGUCUCUUGUGUCACUUGUCGCGUCAUUGUCGUAGAUGUUGGUAGUUUCCUG
ensembl:lncRNA